rnacentral:rRNA from 1 species
UACGAAGGGGGCUAGCGUUGCUCGGAAUCACUGGGCGUAAAGCGCACGUAGGCGGAUCUUUAAGUCAGGGGUGAAAUCCUGGAGCUCAACUCCAGAACUGCCUUUGAUACUGGGGAUCUCGAGUCCGGAAGAGGUGAGUGGAACUCCGAGUGUAGAGGUGAAAUUCGUAGAUAUUCGGAAGAACACCAGUGGCGAAGGCGGCUCUCUGGUACGGCACUGACGCUGAGACGCGAAAGCGUGGGGAGCGAACAGG